rnacentral:rRNA from 1 species
UGGGGAGUAUUGGACAAUGGGGGGAACCCUGAUCCAGCCAUGCCGCGUGUGUGAAGAAGGCCUUUUGGUUGUAAAGCACUUUAAGCGAGGAGGAGGCUACUCUAGUUAAUACCUGGGGAUAGUGGACGUUACUCGCAGAAUAAGCACCGGCUAACUCUGUGCCAGCAGCCGCGGUAAUACAGAGGGUGCGAGCGUUAAUCGGAUUUACUGGGCGUAAAGCGUGCGUAGGCGGCUUUUUAAGUCGGAUGUGAAAUCCCUGAGCUUAACUUAGGAAUUGCAUUCGAUACUGGGAAGCUAGAGUAUGGGAGAGAAUGGUAGAAUUCCAGGUGUAGCGGUGAAAUGCGUAGAGAUCUGGAGGAAUACCGAUGGCGAAGGCAGCCAUCUGGCCUAAUACUGACGCUGAGGUACGAAAGCAUGGGGAGCAAACAG